ACGGCUCAGUAACACGUGGACAACCUGCCCUUGGGUUGGGUAUAAACCCGGGAAACUGGGUAUAAUACCCGAUAGGUCUCGAUUGCUGGAAUGCAUCGGGAUUUAAAGCUCCGGCGCCUAAGGAUGGGUCUGCGGCCUAUCAGGUAGUAGUGGGUGUAGCGUACCUACUAGCCUACGACGGGUACGGGUUGUGAGAGCAAGACCCGGAGAUGGAUUCUGAGACACGAAUCCAGGCCCUACGGGGUGCAGCAGGCGCGAAAACUUUACAAUGCUGGCAACAGCGAUAAGGGAACCUCGAGUGCCAGGUUACAAAUCUGGCUGUCGAGAUGCCUAAAAAGCAUUUCAUAGCAAGGGCCGGGCAAGACCGGUGCCAGCCGCCGCGGUAACACCGGCGGCUCGAGUGGUAACCGUUAUUAUUGGGUCUAAAGGGUCUGUAGCCGGCCGGAUAAGUCUCUUGAGAAAUCUGGCAGCUUAACUGUCAGGCUUUCAGGAGAUACUGUCUGGCUCGAGGCCGGGAGAGGUGAGAGGUACUUCAGGGGUAGGGGUGAAAUCUUGUAAUCCUUGAAGGACCACCAGUGGCGAAGGCGUCUCACCAGAACGGACCUGACGGCAAGGGACGAAAGCUAGGGGCACGAACCGGAUUAGAUACCCGGGUAGUCCUAGCCGUAAACGAUACUCGCUAGGUGUCGGCCACGGCGCGACCGUUGUCGGUGCCGUAGGGAAGCCGUGAAGCGAGCCACCUGGGAAGUACGGCCGCAAGGCUGAAACUUAAAGGAAUUGGCGGGGGAGCAC
rnacentral:rRNA from 1 species